GGAAUUCAGAUCUGAGCUGGCACCCCCCACUCCCUGUCCGUUUUGUUUGCAUAAAUAUUGGUGCGUGACUGAGGUAACGUACUAUGGAUGCUUCAAGACCAAUGAAAACAAAUGCUUUUCUAACGGGUUUGCUUUACACGUACCCAGCGCUAACCGUCUCGUUGGCAUGUGUCAUUACAGAGGAGCUGAGUGCCAACGGGCAGUAUCAGUGUCUCGCAGAGCUGUCCACCAGUCCCAUCACCGUGUGUCAUGGCUCAGGCAUCUCCUGUGGCAAUGCCCAGAGUGACGCCGCUCACAAUGCCCUGCAGUAUCUAAAGAUAAUAGCAGAAAGAAAGUAGGCUCGGAGCAAGUGAGUCUUUCCAAAGCGCAAAGAAGUUUCCCUCGCACCUCUUCCCAGUAAAACAUUUACCGUAAUGUACGUCUGCGUGUCCUUUCCAAAUCCUCUUCGGAUUCCCUCAACUUCCCAGAUUUAAUCGUCUCCUGGUAGUUGUUAUUAAGCUCUUUUUAAUGGCUUCAACUUUGUAUUGGUAUAUUGUGUUUAUAAACUUUGUACCACAAGGCUGAGUGUGGCAUCCAUUUUACAGGGUCAGACACAUAGGUUGAACCUGCAUGUUUGACUGUAACAGUGAAGGGAUAAGAGCACUGCUAACAACAGUCUUACUGGUGCUUAAACUGUUCUGUGCAAAGCUUUGUGAAGUGGAUUCUGAAGAGCCCUUUUAGACUAGAGCGUUGAGGCUUGUGAUGAAUGUCAUUGCUAAAUUUCAGGGAACAUGGUCGGUUUGCUAUGUAUUUGAAACCAUGGAAUAAAAAGCUGUUCUUAUAAUGGGGACUCUGCUCAUUUUAUUAAACAGCUACUCGCUUGAUCUUAAAUUUAUUCUUUGUAGACAAACUUUCUUUUGAACAUUUUCAGUUAUAUUGUCUACACACCACUAGCUUACUGCGGAGAGUGAAAGUAAAAACCCGAGGCCUAAAAAGAUCUGCAAAUGUAUGUACUGAAUAAGUACUCCAUGUAUGUACUGAUUAAAUACUGUAUGAAUUGAUUAUGCAACUUAGGCCUUUGACAUAACCAUUUGUAGAUGAAUUGGUAGUUUUAAAAAGUGUUAACAAAAUACAAACAACAACACC
rnacentral:lncRNA from 1 species